rnacentral:rRNA from 1 species
UACGUAGGCAGUAAGCGUUGUUCGGAGUUACUGGGCGUAAAGAGUGCGUAGGUGGUGCCCUAAGUCUGUUGUGAAAUCUCCCGGCUUAACUGGGAGGGUGCGGUGGAAACUGGGGUGCUUGAGUGUGGGAGAGGUAAGCGGAAUUCCUGGUGUAGCGGUGAAAUGCGUAGAUAUCAGGAGGAACACCGGUGGUGUAGACGGCUUACUGGACCACGACUGACACUGAGGCACGAAAGCGUGGGUAGCAAACGGG